rnacentral:rRNA from 1 species
AUUGAACGCUGGCGGCAGGCCUAACACAUGCAAGUCGAGCGAGGGGCGGACGGGUGAGUAAUGCCUGGGAAUCUGCCUUAUGGAGGGGGAUAACUACUGGAAACUGUAGCUAAUACCGCAUACCAUCGGAUGAGCCCAGGUGGGAUUAGCUAGUUGGUGGGGUAAAGGCUCACCAAGCCGACGAUCCCUAGCUGGUCUGAGAGGAUGACCAGCCACACGGGGACUGAGACACGGACCAGACUCCUACGGGAGGCAGCAGUGGGGAAUAUUGCGCAAUGGGCGCAAGCCUGAUACAGCCAUGCCGCGUGUAUGAAGAAGGCCUUCGGGUUGUAAAGUACUUUCGGUGGCGAGGCGUUACCCGCAGAAGAAGCACCGGCUAACUCCGUGCCAGCAGCCGCGGUAAUUC